rnacentral:rRNA from 1 species
GACGAACCGUGCGAACGUUAUUCGGAAUCACUGGGCGUAAAGGGCGCGUAGGCGGGAUGGCAAGUCAGUCGUGAAAUCUCUCGGCUCAACCGAGAAACGUCGGCUGAUACUGCCGUUCUUGAGGGAUGCAGAGGAGACUGGAAUUCCUGGUGUAGCGGUGGAAUGCGCAGAUAUCAGGAGGAACACCGGUGGCGAAGGCGGGUCUCUGGGCAGUAACUGACGCUGAGGAGCGAAAGCGUGGGGAGCGAACAGG